rnacentral:SRP_RNA from 1 species
GCUGGGCGUGGUGGCGCACACCUGUAAUCCCAGUUACUCAGGAGGCUGAGGCAGGAGAAUCACUUGAACCCGGGAAGCAGAGGUUGCAGUGAGCUGAGAUUGCACCACUGCACUCUAGCCUGGGCAACAGAGUGAGACUCUGUCUCAA